UUCUACCUUCAAAUCCCAUUUGAACGAUUUGGUCCGAUAAAGGAUGUUUAUCUACCUAAGAAUUACUACACUGGGAUACCACUGACAGUCCUCCACCUGAUGAACAUAUAAAAGAAGAGCAGGAUGAGUGUGACCGUACUUUUGUGUUGAAAGAUGAUCUUGGUUAUGUUUGUCGAAUUUGCGGAGUGGUUCAGAGAGGAAUUGAAACCAUAAUUAAGUACCAAUAUGCAAAUGUAUGUAUUCCUGUUUUUGGAAAUUUUCCAUGCAAGUAUGUGUGCUCAUCAUUAUUAUUCUGAUUCUGAUGUUAGCUGCGUAAAUUAAAUGUAUGAAAGCUACUAUGAAGUAUAUAUAAUGCAUCUGGCAGCUUCUGUU